rnacentral:rRNA from 1 species
CAAGAGCGUAUGUAAAAGUUGUUGCAGUUAAAAAGCUCGUAGUUGAACCUUGGGUUUGGUUGGCCGGUCCGCUUUUUUGCGAGUCCUGGAUUCAACCGAGCCUUUCCUUCUGGCUAACCAGUCGUUUCGGCGGCUGGCGAACCAGGAUUUUUACUUUGAGAAAAUUAGAGUGUUCAAAGCAGGCAUUAGCUUGAAUAUAUUAGCAUGGAAUAAUAGAAUAGGACGUUAUGGUUCUAUUUUGUUGGUUUCUAGGACCAUCGUAAUGAUUAAUAGGGACGGUCGGGGGCAUCAGUAUUCAGUUGUCAGAGGUGAAAUUCUUGGAUUUACUGAAGACUAACUACUGCGAAAGCAUUUGCCAAGGACGUUUUCAUUAA